rnacentral:rRNA from 1 species
GCCUAGAUGAUUUUAGUGCUUGCACUAAAUGAAACUAGAUACAAGCGAGCGGCGGACGGGUGAGUAACACGUGGGUAACCUGCCCAAGAGACUGGGAUAACACCUGGAAACAGAUGCUAAUACCGGAUAACAACACUAGACGCAUGUCUAGAGUUUUAAAGAUGGUUCUGCUAUCACUCUUGGAUGGACCUGCGGUGCAUUAGCUAGUUGGUAAGGUAACGGCUUACCAAGGCAAUGAUGCAUAGCCGAGUUGAGAGACUGAUCGGCCACAUUGGGACUGAGACACGGCCCAAACUCCUACGGGAGGCAGCAGUAGGGAAUCUUCCACAAUGGACGAAAGUCUGAUGGAGCAACGCCGCGUGAGUGAAGAAGGGUUUCGGCUCGUAAAGCUCUGUUGGUAGUGAAGAAAGAUAGAGGUAGUAACUGGCCUUUAUUUGACGGUAAUUACUUAGAAAGUCACGGCUAACUACGUGCCAGCAGCCGCGGUAAUACGUAGGUGGCAAGCGUUGUCCGGAUUUAUUGGGCGUAAAGCGAGUGCAGGCGGUUCAAUAAGUCUGAUGUGAAAGCCUUCGGCUCAACCGGAGA